GACUUGAAAGUAGAAAUUAUUCCUUGAUCCAUGGGCUGCAGAAUGGAUGUUGCGUUAGCAGGCAUGAAAACAACAUUGGUCUCAUUGUACAUCUCCAUCAGAGCUCUCGGGUGCCCAGGUGUACUGUCAAUGAGCAGUAAUAUUUUGAAAUAAAUCUUUUUUUCUAAGCAAUAGGUUUUAACAGGGCUU